GAGGCAGGUGGAUGCAGCAGAAACUAAAAAAGCCUAAAAUAGUAGUUUAUGAUAUAUUAACCCCCAUGACUCACUGAGCCUGGGACAUUUGCAAGGUGGCAUAAACCGAGAGUUUACUGACCGUUGAGGCGGAAGGUUCGGUGGCGGGGGCGGGAAGCAAGAGGGCAGUUAAGUGAGCAAUAAACAUCAGGUGGUUUGAGUCCAGCUUAGGACCACUGUCCUUGACACAGGCAGAACGAUGGUCGGGCAGGGAACAAUACUACAGAAAAGCUCUAACUUGUCCUGCUGCAGGUCCUCUCUGAAUCCUUAAAUACGAAAGAAGACCCUUAAGAGCCGGUCUUUCAGCGGUGUAACCGCUGCUUCGCGGCUCACAUUCUCGUAAAUAACUCACCAUCAUGCUUCUGUAAGCAACUGUAUUUCAACUCGCUGGGGCAUCAAACGAAUAAACAAAAAGGGCAAUAAGACCUAGACUCCUGAUUUCCUGGGAAGCCACAUCCUGAGAACUGGUUUGCACAGGACUGAUACGGAGGUCUUCUCCAAUCCCUGGUACAGAGCUCACCUACGGCCACGACUCUACGGCCACGACUCCUGGACUCAAGAUUACAGUGCUGACGGCUGUCUAAACUACGAUGUUAUAAAGAAUGUUUCUGGGAAGAAAUACCUAGAACACAGCCCACAAGAGGGUGAGCCCUAAGAUGUGCAAUGACCAUGGUCUCUGUGUGGACAUGACACCCUGCAGUAUGAUCGUGUAAUAAAAAAGGCAAGCCAACCCAUAAUGCCAACAGGGUACCGAUUGCUCUUAAUGUAUAUUUUAAUAUUAAUAAAUUAUUGCUCUGAUAA